AUACGAAAGGUGCGAGCGUUGUUCGGAUUUACGGGGCGUAAAGCGAGUGUAGGUGGUUUGUUAAGUCGGAUGUGAAAUCCCGGGGCUCAACCUCGGAACUGCAUUCGAUACUGGCAGGCUAGAGUUCGGGAGGGGUAAGCGGAAUUCCGUGUGUAGCAGUGAAAUGCGUAGAUAUACGGAGGAACACCUGAGGCGAAGGCGGCUUACUGGACCGAUACUGACACUGAGACUCGAAAGCGUGGGUAGCAAACAGGAUUAGAUACCCGAGUAGUCC
rnacentral:rRNA from 1 species